CCCAGAGUGGUGAAGUGAGUUGCUACCUUAUUUCUGAAGCACUAGUUUUGUGCCUGUUGUCUGUGGGGCCUUGUUGCCCAGUUCUGAGGCCCAAUUAUGAAAGAUUUUGGACACCUUGGAGGUUAAGCGUGAUCAAAGCAUGGAAUGCCAAGCUGAGCUAGAGAGGGUGCCUCCAAUUCACAGCCUUUGGUUGUAGCUGGACAGUUUUCAAGAGUGAUUUUCCUGAGGAGCAAGAUGUGUUGAGAGAAAUAAGGAGGGACUGAAAUCCUUGUAUUUUGAACCCAGAAGUGUACCUGAGACAUAAGAGAAGAAUGCAGAUUAAAACUAAAACAUACAUUCAGCUUGCACUGUAAUAGGUAUGGUAUCAUUGAAUUAAUGAAAAUUAUCCUCUGUUUUACAGAUAUUUGCCUCCAGCAAGAAAGGUAUAUGGGUUGUUUCGUUCUUUUUUAAUGUAAAGUUAGACCACUUGGCUAUAUGACUUCAGCCAAAUCAUGCAGCCAGCAUCAUUCCAUGUAUUACCGAGAAGUCUUUCA